rnacentral:rRNA from 1 species
GCCUUUCGGGGUGGAUUAGUGGCGAACGGGUGAGUAACACGUGGGCAAUCUGCCCUUCACUCUGGGACAAGCCCUGGAAACGGGGUCUAAUACCGGAUAACACUCUGUCCCGCAUGGGACGGGGUUAAAAGCUCCGGCGGUGAAGGAUGAGCCCGCGGCCUAUCAGCUUGUUGGUGGGGUGAUGGCCUACCAAGGCGACGACGGGUAGCCGGCCUGAGAGGGCGACCGGCCACACUGGGACUGAGACACGGCCCAGACUCCUACGGGAGGCAGCAGUGGGGAAUAUUGCACAAUGGGCGAAAGCCUGAUGCAGCGACGCCGCGUGAGGGAUGACGGCCUUCGGGUUGUAAACCUCUUUCAGCAGGGAAGAAGCGAAAGUGACGGUACCUGCAGAAGAAGCGCCGGCUAACUACGUGCCAGCAGCCGCGGUAAUACGUAGGGCGCAAGCGUUGUCCGGAAUUAUUGGGCGUAAAGAGCUCGUAGGCGGCUUGUCACGUCGGAUGUGAAAGCCCGGGGCUUAACCCCGGGUCUGCAUUCGAUACGGGCUAGCUAGAGUGUGGUAGGGGAGAUCGGAAUUCCUGGUGUAGCGGUGAAAUGCGCAGAUAUCAGGAGGAACACCGGUGGCGAAGGCGGAUCUCUGGGCCAUUACUGACGCUGAGGAGCGAAAGCGUGGGGAGCGAACAGGAUUAGAUACCCUGGUAGUCCACGCCGUAAACGUUGGGAACUAGGUGUUGGCGACAUUCCACGUCGUCGGUGCCGCAGCUAACGCAUUAAGUUCCCCGCCUGGGGAGUACGGCCGCAAGGC